GAUCGAUAAAUCCUGUUCACCCGUUUCUCGACGAUUGCGAUCAUAGCAGUACCAUCUGAAUCGCCGACCACUCUGUUGUAAUUGGCCUGAGACAACAUUAAAAUGGAGAAGUACUGACAACAUGGUUCCUUCUCCGGUCCUCGAUAUCACGGAAAAAAAAAAAGUGUUUGGUCGACUUCGAUAAACUGCACGAGGAACCACAACAACCACAACAACAACAACAACAACAACUGCAAUAAUACAAAUAUGCGACUUGAUGGCAUCCUUACUUGGAACAGUCGCCACUCAUGCAGGUAAGCCUGGAGCUUGGUCGUCUCGAACCACAUGAUGACGGGCACGACGGCGGACGGCGCGACCAACGUGGCGCAUGCAAAGUUCAAAAGUAUGCGAUUGAAGUUGGUCAUGGU